AUAAAGAUGCAGUGGCAGUAUCGUAGCCAAUGAGGUUUAUCCGAGGCGCAAUUAUUGCUAAUUGAAAACUUUCCCCAAAAAAAGUUAAAGCAAGAUUUGUUUCUUUUAAUUAAGGUAUACAAAUUUGCUUCAAAA